CGGAACGUACCCUAGAGUGGGGGAUGACGUAGCGAAAGUUACGCUAAUACCGCAUACGAUCUACGGAUGAAAGUGGGGGAUCGCAAGACCUCAUGCUCAUGGAGCGGCCGAUAUCUCAUUAGCUAGUUGGUGAGGUAACGGCUCACCAAGGCGACGAUGCGUAGCCGACCUGAGAGGGUGAUCGGCCACAUUGGGACUGAGACACGGCCCAGACUCCUACGGGAGGCAGCAGUGGGGAAUAUUGCACAAUGGGGGAAACCCUGAUGCAGCAACGCCGCGUGAGUGAUGACGGCCUUCGGGUUGUAAAGCUCUGUCUUCAGGGACGAUAAUGACGGUACCUGAGGAGGAAGCCACGGCUAGCUACGUGCCAGCAGCCGCGGUAAUAA
rnacentral:rRNA from 1 species